CAGUAGCCGCGGUAAUACGGAGGGUGCAAGCGUUAAUCGGAAUUACUGGGCGUAAAGCGCACGCAGGCGGUUUGUUAAGUCAGAUGUGAAAUCCCCGAGCUUAACUUGGGAACUGCAUUUGAAACUGGCAAGCUAGAGUCUUGUAGAGGGGGGUAGAAUUCCAGGUGUAGCGGUGAAAUGCGUAGAGAUCUGGAGGAAUACCGGUGGCGAAGGCGGCCCCCUGGACAAAGACUGACGCUCAGGUGCGAAAGCGUGGGGAGCAAACAGGAUUAGAGACCCCGGUAGUCCCUGUCUCUUAUAC
rnacentral:rRNA from 1 species